rnacentral:rRNA from 1 species
UACGGGGGGGGCAAGCGUUGUUCGGAAUUACUGGGCGUAAAGGCCAGUAGGCGGCCAACUAAGUCGGAUGUGAAAUCCCCAGGCUCAACUUGGGAACUGCAUCCGAUACUGGAUGGCUUGAAUUCGGGAGAGGGAUGCAGAAUUCCAGGUGUAGCGGUGAAAUGCGUAGAUAUCUGGAGGAAUACCGGUGGCGAAGGCGGCAUCCUGGACCGACAUUGACGCUGAACGGCGAAAGCUAGGGGAGCAAACGGG